rnacentral:rRNA from 1 species
UUUUCGCGCGAUCGCCUUGAGUUGAUCAUGGCUCAGAACGAACGCUGGCGGCGUGGAUAAGACAUGCAAGUCGAACGAGGUCCGAAGUUCCCGCAAGGGAAUUUCGGACUUAGUGGCGAACGGGUGCGUAACACGUGGGCAAUCUGCCGAAAAGUGGGGGAUAGCUCGCCGAAAGGCGAAUUAAUACCACAUGUGGUGAGGGACGACAUCUUCCUGAAUCCAAAGCCGGGGCAACCUGGCGCUUUUUGAGGAGCCCGCGGCCUAUCAGCUAGUUGGUGAGGUAACGGCUCACCAAGGCUAUGACGGGUAGCUGGUCUGAGAGGACGACCAGUCACACUGGAACUGAGACACGGUCCAGACACCUACGGGUGGCAGCAGUCGAGAAUUUUUCUCAAUGGGGGAAACCCUGAAGGAGCGACGCCGCGUGGAGGAUGAAGGCUUUCGGGUUGUAAACUCCUGUCAUUUGGGAACAAGGUGCAACGGUUAACUGCCGUUGUAUUGAUAGUACCAGAAGAGGAAGAGACGGCUAACUCUGUGCCAGCAGCCGCGGUAAUACAGAGGUCUCAAGCGUUGUUCGGAUUCAUUGGGCGUAAAGGGUGCGUAGGUGGCGCUGUAAGUCGGGUGUGAAAUUUCGGAGCUUAACUCCGAAACUGCAUUCGAUACUGCGGUGCUUGAGGACUGGAGAGGAGACUGGAAUUCAUGGUGUAGCAGUGAAAUGCGUAGAGAUCAUGANGAAGACCAGUGGCGAAGGCGGGUCUCUGGACAGUUCCUGACACUGAGGCACC